rnacentral:lncRNA from 1 species
AUGCAAUUGAACCUUCCCAGUUUUAUAAAGAACCACCGCAAUAAUUCCUUGGGGAUGUUUAUACCAAAAGAAAACAAAAAACAAAAGAGCCAUUGGCUAUGUAAACAGUCCAAUUUUAAAUGGCUUGUGCUGUAUUUGUAUGGAACAGAGAACUCAUUUAAUUACUUUUUCAUGCAAUCUCUUUUUAUCCUUACCAGGAUCCCAUAAAUUCAUGGCUACUAUUUCCAUGUAAUGCAGAGAGGAAGCUGAAGCUUUGUGUACCAGGAAAUAGUUGCAACAUGCAGAGCCAUUGCGAUUUGUGCUCUGUCGUGAACACAUUCUGUGAUCCUCUGGCUGUCCGCUGCAGAUGCUCUCCUCCCAGGACCCUUGCAAUUCUACUUGCACCCAUGUUCAGCAGAGCUGACAAGGGAAGAAGGCAAACAGGGCAGGAGCUGGGAGAGCAGCAGCCACUGUGUCUUGUGGUGGCCCAAUGGGAUGGAAUCAUUCACGAGAUGCACAGCAUGAAACACACGUGUGUCCUCUUCACAUCCAUAACUGAACCCUGGGGCUCCCAGCUCAGUUCCCAUUUGGUGAUGCUAUUUUGGUUCAAGCUGGGGUCAGAGAGUGUGGAUCAGAACUUGGGUUUCCAGCUACCACUUGGAUAG